AGUUGAGUUGAGUUGAGUUGGUUUGGUUUGGUUGUUCAACUUCAGUUUGUUAAAAUAGUAUCACUUGACUUUAAUUUAUGUUCAAAACAGUCACCUUAUCCUUCUAUAGUAGGUUUUCUAGUUGCUAUUUUAAUAUGAUUGUUUUUUAAAAAGAAAGGGGAAAUGACCAUAGUGCCUCUACCUACACUUUCCUUGUUCUUCUCCCUUCCCUUCUCUUUCUUUUUCCUAUUUUUUUUUUCUGCCUAUCUCUCUUGCGACUCUGUCCUUAUUGCAGUGAUGGCUAUAGCUACCCAGCUUAGUCUUCCCCCGUUACCAAUUGUUGUCAUUCGUGAGAGGGUGUAUUGUCCCCAUUUGGUUUAGGAUAAGGAAUUUGUAGUAAAUAUAAGACUUGCUAAACCUUUUCUCCUGUACUAGCUUUUGGGUGAGUGAGGCCCGGUCUAUUUUGUCUUCAUGGUAUCGGAGCCUAUCCUACUGCAAUGUUGAGCUAGUACCUUCAUGCUCCAAAUGUUCAGGUUUGGGCGUGAGGAGGGGGAGGGGGUGAUGUCAUGCCUAGGUGUGGGGGGUAUAUUGUCUUACAUUGGUUUGAGACAAGGAAUUUGUGCUAAAUAUAAGAUUUGGACAAAUCUCCUCACCUUAAGCUAGUUUUUGGGGUGAAGUUAGACUCAAUUUAUUUUCUUUAUACUAAUGAAUACCCAAACCCUCCAUAUUCCACUCCCUAAGCUCCAAAGAGCACAACCCAUUCAAAAUUUCAAGCACAGAGAUUGAGAGACUUGAAAUUGCCCCUCUCAAUUCUAACUCUUCUUAAUCGCAAUGAAGCUCCAAACUGCCUUCCCUAAUGUUAUCCAACCUUCAUUGGCCAUCCUUGGCCUUCAGUUUUGUUGGAAAUGAGGAGCAACAAAUCAAAAACCCAUUUAUUUGAAGCGUUCUCCCUUCUAUUCUUGUAGAUGGAGGAUCUCUCUAUAGCUGGGUGUUCUCCAUCAAUUUUCUACUAUUUUUGAUAUGAUGGGUAUCAAUCGAGAAGGAGACAUCUGUUGUAAUCCUCUCCUACCCUUUGCCAUUUUUUUAAAAAUUCUUUUUAUUUUUAAGUUAUGUUCUUGUUAGUGAAAUUGAAUUGUGAUUUAUGGUUGAUAGUAGUUUUUGGUUGAAUUUUGAGGUUUUUAUUUAUUUGUUUGUUUAUUAUAUUUGAUUAUUGUGGAUUUGGAUAUGCUUUGCCCAAUUUGGUUGUGGUUUUGGAUUGUUUUGGAUAUAGAGAUAGAGGGAAGUUGGAGAUAGGCA
rnacentral:misc_RNA from 1 species